rnacentral:lncRNA from 1 species
UGGCAAAUCUAUGGUAAAAAAGUUGAAAAACAGGAGCAAAACAACAAGGGUUAUUUUUUAUUGCAAAUUUAGACCUGGGCCCGGACCAAAAAAAUUUUUACCCAAGAAUUGACCUAUUUUCUAAAAAUGUAUUAUUCUUUUUUUAAAAUUUAUUUUUUAGAUUUAUAUUUUUAUCUAAACACUUUCAAUUUUUGAAUAAGCCUUCGGACUGGACCGGGUCACCAUACCAUGAACAACUCUAGUUUUGGAUGACCCUGGUAAUGUGUGGCUCUGGAAAUUGGAACAGGAGUAUAACCCAACAAUUGCGACUGCAGUAGCGCAAGUAUGUGCCGUUGUGUAGUGUGAGAAAACCAGUAUGACCGAAAAGGGUGAGUGGCUGGGAGAGGUAUAGGUGCCAUUGCAGGUCGUCGGUUGUGGCCAAUUUUCGUAGAAUGAUGGACUUUGUGGGGUUGCUGAUCUUAACUAAGCUAAUUUACAUUUGAUCCAUGGAUCUUUAUUUGUCGCUUUUUAUUACACCCACAUGACAUGAAUCUCUUUCACUCCCCUGCUUCACUACCUUAACAAAACAGAGUUUAGAAAGUAAAAAAAAAAAAAAAACAGAAUAAAAGAUUAGAAGUUUUCGAUGUUUCUUUUCCAUAAAAUGGAAAUUUCAGACUCAAGUACUCAAAGCCACCAAUUAAACUGAUUGUUCUCAAUCUGAUUUAAAUCUUUGGAAGGCUAAAAUAUUUAUCAUUGUAUUAGUUUAUAAACUCAUAAAAGUUUUACCAUUUUUGGGACCAAAGCCCCUGCCUCCCCUGGUGCUACCCUGUUCACAGAGGAAUGCCCUCCUGUUUAUAUCCU